GGGCGAUUGGCUCAGCGGUAGAGCGCUCCGUUCACACCGGAGAGGUCACUGGUUCGAUCCCAGUAUCGCCCACCA
rnacentral:tRNA from 1 species